GAAAAUCUUGCAUGUACAAAAGAAAGUUGCCUAAUGACAAAAGCAAUAAAAUAUAUAUCUUGCGAGGAGAUUACAAAAACAAGUGCGAGAAAGUUUAGAACGUAUGUUUGUCGUAUUGUUAACACGGUUUUAUGCCAGUAGGACUGCGGCUCAACGUUUAACGAUUGUGUAUAUUGCUUAUUGUUUCUGAAGGAAUUUAAGAAUUUGAUGGAGGUUAAAUCGGUUCAGGUGAACAGUGAUGAUGAUGAUUCGAUGUCGAGCAAGAGCUAACCCUAAUUUCAACCCCAAUUUUACUUUUGUAUGUAAGGCUUUUAUAUACAUAUUUAAAGCUUAUGAAGUUAAUUCAGAUAAUAUCAGCCCCUAAACCCUUCUUCUUCUUCUUCUUCAGUAUUUGCUUGUAUCACGUAUUCGUUUAAUCGGGCCUUAUUGAAUCUUUUAUAAAUGAUCAAUCACUUUCCAUACCAGUCUCAUGUUUUUCACGUGCCUUCCGCCUUCUUUUUGCCAGUAAGUUUGGUGGUGUGGCUUCCUCAUCGGACAGAGAGGCUACAGAUGGGGUGUGUUAAUAAGGAAAUCGUUUGCAGCUACGCACGACCGCUAACAAAAAAUGGAAGAAAGCGGGAGAUCUCGGGUUCGGUCGACGGUUGCAUGAUGUAGAUGAAGUUUUACGCAAUUUGCGGUCCAGGUUUAUUUUUUUUGUUUAAAUGCAGUUAAAUAAUUCAUGUGCUUUUGAGCAAUUUUAUAAUAUAAUUAGUGAUCUAUGUAUGGUUGGAGAUAAACUUCAAACACUGGUAACUAACCAUGAGUUUUUUUGAUCAUAAACAUUGUAAAUGUGUAAUUUAUUAUGUCUCCAUUUCAUGAUAACAGUGUACAUUUGAUUACUUAGGAGUUGAAGGACCAUGUCUUAACUUGAGUUUAGAUCGAAUUGUUCUUAAAACCCGAGGUGCAGGGCGUUGCUCUAUAUAC